rnacentral:tRNA from 1 species
AAGGCUUUAGCUUAAUUAAAGUGUCUGUUUUGCAUACAGAAGAUGUGGGUUAAUGUCUCGCAAGUCUUA